rnacentral:rRNA from 1 species
GUAGUUGGCGGGGUAACGGCCCACCAAGCCUACGAUCAGUAACUGGUGUGAGAGCACGACCAGUCACACGGGCACUGAGACACGGGCCCGACUCCUACGGGAGGCAGCAGUAAGGAAUAUUGGUCAAUGGACGCAAGUCUGAACCAGCCAUGCCGCGUGGAGGAUGAAGGUCCUCUGGAUUGUAAACUUCUUUUAUUUGGGAAGAAACCACCGAUUUCUAUUGGUGUUGACGGUACCAGAUGAAUAAGCACCGGCUAACUCCGUGCCAGCAGCCGCGGUAAUACGGAGGGUGCAAGCGUUAUCCGGAUUCACUGGGUUUAAAGGGUGCGUAGGCGGGUUGGUAAGUCCGUGGUGAAAUCUCCAAGCUUAACUUGGAAACUGCCGUGGAUACUAUCAAUCUUGAAUAUAGUGGAGGUGAGCGGAAUAUGUCAUGUAGCGGUGAAAUGCUUAGAUAUGACAUAGAACACCCAUUGCGAAGGCAGCUCGCUACACUAUUAUUGACGCUGAGGCACGAAAGCGUGGGGAUCAAACAGGAUUAGAUACCCUGGUAGUCCACGCCCUAAACGAUGAUUACUCGACAUCAGCGAUACACUGUUGGUGUCUGAGCGAAAGCAUUAAGUAAUCCACCUGGGAAGUACGACCGCAAGGUUGAAACUCAAAGGAAUUGACG